rnacentral:lncRNA from 1 species
CUCCAGGCUACACAAGGUGUCAGCUGGGGUUAUGAUUUUGUCUGAGGCUUGACAAGGAAGAAUCUUCUUCCAAGUUCAUUCAGAUUUUUCCCAGGAUUCAUUUCCUCACCCCAGCUAUUGGCUAGAGGCUGCCUUCAGCUCCUAGGACCGUCUGCGGCUCCCCGCCAUGUCCUCUCCAUAGGCAAUUUACAACAUGGCUGUUUUUUUCAAGGGUGGCAGAAUCUUGAUAAAGUCGGAUAAAACAGAAUUUUAUACAUAGAAGGUGGGAAUGCCAUAUUCUUGCUUCUUGCUGGAAGCAAGCCACCGAAUUUACCCUCUCUUAAGAGGAGGGGGUCAUUCGGAGGUAACACCAACAUCAUGGUGCCAUCUUGGAAUUCUGUCCACCCCAGCAAAUUCUGUCCCAGGUUUAGCUGAGAAAAGGGUUGGAGAGAGUUGUGACUACCCUUGUAUUGUGUAUAGUUGGGAGUUUGAACAGUAUCCUAUUGAAAACAGGAAACACUGAAAGGGAAUGGAGAAGGAAUGAUGAGAGUGGGGGCAAAAAGCCAAUGGGAAGGAAGUGCCAGGGUUCAGGGGAGAAAUAGUGAUGGGCUGUGGCCAUGGGAUGCAGAAGAAAGGCCCAAUAUCUGCCUGGCUGACCUGUGUUUCCUUUUGAUCUCCACUCAGAUGUCACCUGAUCAGCAGCUCUGGAGGCUGAGGCAGGAGGAUCUUGAAUUCAAAGCCAGCCUCAUCAAAAGCGAGGCACUAAGCAACUCAGUGAGACUCUGUCUCUGAAUAAAAUACAAAAUAGGGCUGGGGAUGUGGCUCAGUGGUCAAGUGCCCCUGAGUUCAAUCCCGGAUACCCCCCCCUAAAAAAGUCACCUGAACAGUAAGGCUCUCCCCAUCUACACAACAUAAAAGAGCCACCCACUCCUCUCUCUCCACCCCUCCCCCACCUUAUUGUCAGAGCACUUAUCAUCAUGGGCCUUACUAUGUGUUUCUUUUCUUUUAAUCAACUUAUUUUCUUUCUCUCCUUAUAGACUUCAAGAGUUUUUUCAGCUUGCUGAUAUAUCUUCAGCCUCCAGAACAGUGCCUAGGAUAUCAAAUAUAUUCAAUGAAUGUUUGCUGACUGAAUCAAUCAAUCAAUCAAUCAAUCAAUGUGUUCCAAAGAUGUUCUGGCAUUGGACUUGCUAGGACUUCAUACAAGAGAGAUGCAUUAGCAAUGCUCCAAGGUUUCUGCCUUGACAGAUUUUUAAAAAAAUAUAUUAGAGCCAGGCAUGGUGGUGCAAGCCUGUAAUCCCAGCGUUUUGGGAGGCUGAGACAGAAGAAUCUUGAGUUCAAAGCCAACCUCAGCAAAAGCGAGGCACUAAGCAACUCAGUGAGACCCUGUCUAUAAAUAAAAUAGAAAAUAGGACUGGGGAUAUGGCUCAGAGGUGGAGUGCCCCUGAGUUCAAUCUUUAGUACCAAAACAAACAAAAAACAAAACAAAACAAAACAAAAUAUAUAUAUAUAUAUAUAUAUAUAUAUAUAUAUAUAUAUAUAUAUAUAUAUAUUGGAGCCAGGCACAGUGGCACAUGCCUGUAACCUCAUUGAUUCAGGAGGCUAAGGCAGGAGGAUUGCAAGUUUCAGGCCAGCCUCAGCAAUUUAGUGAGACCCUGUCUCAAAAUAAAAAUAAAAAGGGCUAGGAAUAUGUCUCAAUGGUAAAGUGCCUCUGAGUUCAAUCCCCAGAACAAUCAAUCAAUCGAUCUAUAUCAAUGUCAACAUAUAUGUAUAUAUGUGUUGUGUGAGUGUGUGUGUGUGUGUGUGUGUGUAUAAGCCUGUAUAUUAGAGUACAUAGACACACUGAGACAUAUCAAUACCUAUAUACAAUGUAUAAGGAUAAGAUGAGGGUAACUGGCAUUUCCAUCAUCAUGAACAUAUAUCAUUUCUUUGUGUUUAGAACAUUCAAAAUCUUCUCUACUGGCUAAUUUGAAAUAUUCAAUUGCCAACCAUAGUUAUCCUACUGUGCUAUAGAAUAUUACAAGUUAUUCCCCCUUCCAAGUGCACCCUUGUACCACUAACCAUCUUUUCUUCAUUCCUCCUCCCCCACACAUUUCCCAGGCUCUGAUAACCACUACUUUACUCUCUACUUUUUGGAGAUCAAUUUUUUGGUUUCCAAAUAUCAAUGAGAACACAUGGUAUUUGUUUUUCUGUGCCUGAUUUAUUUCACUUGACAAAAUGUCAUCCAGUUCCUUCUAUUUUGCUGCAAAUGAUGGAAUUUUGUUGCUUUUUACAGAUGAAUAAUAUUCCACUAUGUUUAUAGACCACAUUUUCUUUAUCCAUUCAUUCAUUGACGGCACCUAGGUUGGUUCCACCUCUUGACAGUUGUGAAUAGUGCUGCAAUAAACACAUGAGUGCACAGGUCUCUUCCACAUUAUGAUUUCAAUUUUCUUGAAUAUAUACCCAGUAGUGAGAUGGCUAGAUCAUAUGGGAUUUCUAUUUCUAGUUUUCAGAGGGUGCUCCAUACUCUUUUCCAUAGCAGUUAUACUAAUUUACAUUUCCACCAACAGUGUAUGAGAAUUCCCCUUUCUCUGCAUCCUCACCAGCAUCUGUAAUUUUUUUGUCUUUUGUUUUUCUUUCUUUUGUACUAAGGAAUGAGUCCAUGGUGUCUUACCACUGAGCUACAUCCCCAGUCCAUUUUUUAAAAUAUUUUUUAGUUGUCAAUGAACCUUUGUUUUACUUAUUUAUAUGCAGUGCUGAGAAUCAAACCCAGUGCCUCACACGUGCUAGGCAAGCGCUCUACCACUGAGCCACAACCCCGGCCCCAUAGCCCUUUUUUUUGUUUUUGAGACAGGGUCUCACCUAAGUUACUGAGGGUCCUACUAAAUUGCCCAGGCUGGCCUUGAAUGUGCACUCCUGCCUCAGCCUCCCUACUCACUGGGAUUCAGGGGCAUGCCACCAUGCCUGGCAUUUUGUUUUGGUUUGGUUUGGUUUUUUGUCUUUUUGCCAAUAGCCAUUCUAACUGGGGCAAGGUGAUCUCUCGUUGUGGUUUGGGUUUACAUUUCCCUGAUGAUUAGCAAUGUUGAGAAUUUUUUCAUAUGUGUAUUGACCAUUCAUAUAUCCUCUUGAGAAAUGACUAGUCAGGUCAUUCACCCAUGUUUAAUUGGAUUAUUCAGCUUUUUGGUGGUGGGUUGUUGAGUUUCUUAUAUAUUCUAGAACUUAAUCCCUUGUCAGAUAAAUAGUUAGCAAACAUCAUCUCCCAUUCCACAAGUUGUCUCUUUACUCUGUCUACGAUUUCCUUUGCUGUAAUGACACUUUUGUUUUGUUUUGUUUGUUUUGGGUACCAGGGGUUGAACUCAGGGACACUCCACUUCUGAGCCACAUCCCCAGCUCUAUUUUGUAUUUUAUUUAGAGACAGGGUCUCACUGAGCUGCUUAGUGCCUCACUUUUGCUGAGGCUGGCUUUGAACUCUCAAUGUUCCUACCUCAGCCUCCUGAGCCACUGGGAUUACAGGCGUGUGCCACCACAUCCAGCUUGUAAUGACACUUUAUAAUUUGAUGUAAUCCAUUUGUCUAUUUUUGCCUCUGUUGCCUAUGCUUUUGAGGCCACAUCCAAAAAAAAAUCAGACCAAUACCUUGUAGUGUUUUCCCUGCAUUUUCUCCUAUUAGUUUCAUAGUUUGGGGUCAUAUGUUUAAGCUUUUAACUCAUUUUGAGUUGAUUUUUUGUGUAUGGUGAGAGAUGGGGUUCUAAUUUCUUUUCUCUGUUUAUGGAUAUCCAAUUUUCCAGACCCACUUAUGGGAAAAAAUUGUCCUUACCAUACACUAUGGCACAUGCCUAUAAUCCUAAGUACUUGGGAGGCAAAUGCAAGAGGAUCACAAGUUCAAGGACAGCCUCAGCAAGAUCUCAUCUCAAAAAAAAUUUAAAAGGGCUGGGGUUGUAGCUCAGUAGUGAGCACCCCUGGGUUCAAUCCCUAGUACCCACCCCCCCCCCAAAAAAAAAGGAAGGAAGGAAAUAUUCUAUUUUAAAAAUAUUUUUAGUUGUAGAUGGUCACAAUACCUUUAUUUUGUCUAUUUAGUAUUUUUAUGUGGUGUUGGGGAUUGAACCCAGUGCUUAAUGCAUGCUAGGCAAGCACUCUACCACUGAGGCACAAUCCCAGCCCUAUUAUUUCUGUAAUCUAUGUGUUUGAUGUCUUCACUGAUAAUCAGUUGACUACAGAGGUGUAGAUUUAUCUCUGGGUUUUCUAUUCUGUUCCAUUGGUCUAUGUGUUCAUUUUUACAUCUGUACCCUGCUGCUUUGUUUAUUAUUGCUUUGGAAUAUGCUUUGAAGUCAGAUAUUGUAAUGCUUACUAUUUUGUUCCUUUUGAUACAGGAUCACUUUCUCUAUUGGGAGUCUUUUGUGGUUCUACAUAAAUUUUAGGAGUUUUUUUUUUUUCCUUUUCUAUUUCUGUGAAGAAUGCCAUUGGUAUUUUGAUAGGAAUUGUAAUCAAUUGGUAGAUUGGUUUGGUUCUGUGACCCAUAGAAUAGUGCUUCUCAGUGAUGUGGAAGGAACAGGGCAUCAGAGAAAGCACAUAACAAGUUGAACUUGGUCAAGUGGAUCUGAGAUGGAUGGUGAUCGGGUUAUGUCAUGGGACGGUAGAAAUGUGAGUUUCAGAGCUCAUGAGAUAAGAAAAAGGGUCAUGGAUUACAUAAGGGAUAGAGGAAGUCGUGGGGUUAAGUAAUAAGAGACCCAAGGGGUGCUCCCUGGAAAAGAAGAAAGAGCCAAUGUCAGAAGAAGAUGCAGGGGUGUCUGGAAAAGGGCUCCAAGAAUGAAGGCAGGUCCUCUUCAAUGCUACUGAGAGCUGAAGAAACAAGAUUAGAAUUGGAACGCUUUAGAGACUGAAGUUUACUGGUGGCAACAAGAGCAAGGGAUCAGAGUUUUCCAGAUCCACAAGAUAUUGAAAGACGUCAAUCACUUUCUCUGAGAAGGAGUUGUGAUUGAUGGUAAAGGAGAAAGAAGAGGGUGGUCCUAAGAGUGCAGGAAGUUAGGCAUGGUGCACACUUGUAAUCCCAGCAGCUGGGGAGGCUGAGGCAGGAAAAGCACAAGUUCAAGGCCAGCCUCAGUGACUUCACAAGGCUGUAAGCCAAUUUAUCGAGACCCUGUCUCAAAUUUUAAAAAAGGGUUGGGGAUAGUAGCUCAGUGGUAAAACACCCCUGGAUUCAGAGAUGGACAAAAGUUGCCGUCUAACAGUAUAGACCCAGUAAACUCACCCUCAUCCACAGCAGAUACAGUCCAGGACCCCCAAUAGACAUAUGCCUGAAAUCACAGACAGUACCCACCCUAUAUAAACUGUGUUUUGUUCUGUUUUGUUUUUGUGGUACCAGAGAUGGAACUCUGACUGCUCUACCACGAAGCUACAUCCCCAGCCCUUUGUGGGUUGUUUUUGUUGUUGUUGUUGUUGUUGUUUUUGAGAUAGUAUCUCACUAAGUUACCAAGGCUGGCCUUGAACUUGUGAUCCUCCUGCCUGUGCCUCCUGAGUCACUAGGCUUAUGGGUAUAUACCACCACACCUGGCUCUGUUGUUUCUUAUACAUAUAUACCAACGAUACAAUUUGAUUUAUAAAUUAGACAUGGUAAGAAAUAAUUAACAAACACUAAUGAUGGAAAAGAACAUUAUGAUGACAUACUAUAGUAAAAUUGCCUGCAUUACUACUCUGGCACAUUGGGGCCAUUAUUAAGUAAAAUAAGGAUUACUUGAACACAGUGUUGCAAUACUACAAUAAGUGAUCUGAUUACUGAGAGGGCUACUAAGUGACUAAUGGGAAGGUGGAAUAUUUAGCAUGGAUCCACUGGACAAAAGGAUGUUUAUCCCACGUGUGACAGAGCAGAUGGCAUGAGAUUUUAUUAUGCUACUCAGAAGGAUGCUCAAUUUAGAGCUGGGCGUGGUGGUGCACACUUAUAAUCCCAAUGGUUUGGGAGGCUGAGGCAAGAGGAUCCCAAGUUCAAAGCCAGGCUCAGCAACUUAGAGAGGCCCUAAGCAAUUCAGCAAGACCCUGUCUAAAUUAAAAAAAAAAAAAAUUAAGUGGGGGGGGGGGGCGGGCUGAAGAUGUGGCUCAGUAGUUAAGCACCCCUGGGUUCAACCCCUCCUACCAAAAAAAAAAAAAGAAGAAGAAUGAUGCUCAAUUUAAAAUGUAUGACUUGUUUAUUUCUGGAAUCCAUUUACUCUUUUCUUACCAGACUUGACUGUAGGUAGCUGAAAAUGCAGAAAGAAAAGCCAUAGAUAAGGGAGGAAUACUGUUCUCUUUCCUGCUUUGCCCCAACCUUUCCACUGGUGGGACAGCAGGGAAGAGACUUGGGCAGAGAGCAUUUCUGGGUUCUUUGAACGGAUUCAGUCUUAAUCUUGUCCUCGCUGUCAAAAGAAGCUUAAAUGGAAUACUCAGCAGGAAGUUCCGGAUUGCAGAGGUGGGAUCCUGGUUUCCCUCCUGUGCUCCAGGAUUGAAACCCAUUGAGGCCUGUGGCAGGUGACAUUGUCCAGAACUGCUACAACCGCCCAUCCCACUUGCUUUUGUACCAUACAACAAGGUACCCCCCACAGAGAGGUGGAAUCUGUGUCCCUCCACCCUAAACCUGGGACCAUCUCAGCUGGUAGAGUCUGCUAUAAAUGUUGGGUGACUGCAGUCUCAUGGUUCGACCUCUCAGACAAGACCAUGAAAUUUUUACAGGUCUCUCUCUUUCAGGGCAUGUGCCUUUGAAACCCCGAGACACCAUGUUAACAAGACUGGUUAUCCUAAAGCCACCAUACAGAGAGGCCCCCAGCCCUAGCCUCAGCAGAGCUCCCAGCUAACACUUCCUGGCCACAUACUCUGCCUCAUUUUCUGGAGGCUCCCCAAGGUCCUGCCCUCUCAACCCUGUUCUGUAUCCACAGGAAAGCAGGCUUUAUGCCCCCAUGCCCACCCACUCGGGGCCCAGAGGAAGUGAUAAACAAGCAGCACCCCCACCCAGCAGAGUCUCCACUGUCAGAAGGCCCUAAUGGUGGCUGGCACAGGUCACCCACCCAGCAACCAUCUCCUCACCCACCCACUCCAGGAAACGUGGAAAAUCCAGAGACCAUCCUAGGCCAGCUGUACUCCAGGAAGAAACUGGGCAAGCUGCCCAGAAUGACACAAAGUGGACUUUGGGCUGAUUGCCCAAGUUGAACUAAUGCCCUCACCUUCUUCUAAAGGGUACUCUCUGCAGAACCAAGGCCACAGCCUGUCAUGAAAGCAGAUGUUGACAGAGCAGGACAGAUGGGGUACGAGGGUCCCUUGGGAUAUGCGAAGCACAUCUCUGAUACUCACCACCCCAUCAGUACUGAUCAGAGUAAGUGGGGGAGGAGAAAAAGACCCCAACAUGUCGAGUAGUAAUGCCACCAUCAUGAAUUGGGAGCAGCCCAGCUGCUUCUGAGGGUGGAGCGCUAAGACACCUGGAUUCAUCCCUGCUCUCAGGCGGUGGGGAUGAGAACACUUGGGAAGCUCAAUGAGGUGGGACUUCCUUAAAGCAAAACAGCAGUAAAAAUCAGGAAAAAAAAAUAUUUCAUAUCCAGUAUUUGUGUUAGGCUAUAUGCUACCUAGACCCCCCCACCCCACAAGGCAUUUAAGGUAGGAUUUGAUUUACUAUUUUUUAUUCUCAGUUACUCAGUCUUUCAAUAAAUACUUAUGGAGCACCUUAUGCGCUAAACACCACAAGCAAAAAACAUAUUUUCAUAAAUACAUGUGUGAAUAUAAGCAAAGGAUAUCUCUAAAACAGUCGUUCUCCAUCAAGCCUCCCUCUUCCCAGGAGACAUCUGUCAAUGUUUGGAGACAUUUCCAGGUGUCAUAACUGGGAGGUGCUACUAGUAUCUAGUGGGGAGAGGCCAGGGAUGCUGCCUUGCACAGGACACCCCGUGACAAAGCAUUGCCUGGUCUAAAGAAUCAUUCAUGCUGAGAUUGUAAAACUCCGUCCAGAAGGAUACUCAAGAAACAGGUCAAGCUGGGAAUGCAGCUCAGUGGUAGAGCACUUGUCUAGCAUGUGCAAGUCCCUAGGUUAAAUCCCAGCCACCCCCUCCACACACACACACACACACGAUAUAGAUUAACAGUGGUUCCCCAUAUAGUGGGGUGCCAGAGACCAUGAUGCACAGGUAUUCGAGAUCAUGACUUCCCCUGUGUAUACUUCUGAACCAUUUUGUACUGAAUUUUUACCAAGUGCAUGUAUUAAUUAUUUUAUAAAAAAGAAGAACUAUUACUUGAUUGGGCCAUAAUUAUUGAGUGCCCUUCUCUUGAUUGUUAGAGAAAGAAAUUUAAAGGAGAGAAGAAACAGAAUCUGUCACUGCGUCUGGUGCCUGCAGUCUGUGAACCCGUCUAGCCUUCCUCCAGACCCCACUUUCUCAAACUCAGUCUCACCCCUGUCAUGGACCAGGGCCUUCUUGCUCCUGAGGACUGUCUUAGGCAUGGUAGGGUUUUGAGCAGCAUCCCAGAAUGUUCUUGGAGAUUCCCCUUAUCCUUUAUCCACUCCUGGGUCCCUUCAGCCCCCAGGAGCCUUCUGGUAUGGCUUCGACUAGCAUUCUGUGUUUUCUGUACUCAUCCUGCCUUUCUGGAUAAGUUGUAUUCUGCUUUCCAGGACAGAAGCAGCUUCAGUGAGAACUGGAUUGCUGUGAACACACAGAAGCAUUUUCUAGGCGCUAAAGGACACUCACUAUAUAGCAGCUGGACACAACAGGCCCAGGAAGCGCUCAUCAGCACGGUGGCUGUGGUCCCUUCCAUAGCCACAGGUAGCAGAGUCAAGUUAUUAAACUCUCCACAAGUGAGAGUAGCAGAAAAAAAAAUGGCAUAAGAAUCAAAACCUGCCCACUUCAAGUCCUUGAGGUAGUUUUGACUCAGGGCAAAGUGGCAAAGUCAAUAAAGUCAGCCAAGGAAGUUAGUAUCUGUAAGAAUCUGGGUUUUGAAGCCAGGUUGCCUGGAUUGAUAGCCUUAUUCUGCUACUUCCUGCCUGUGUGAUCUCAAACAAAUUACUGAACCUCUCUGAGCCUGAGGAGCUACAAUGAUGAAUUAGAGAUAAUAACAGAGACCUCUUCCUAGUAUCAUUAAAUCAACAGAGAUAGUGCAUACGGAGUUCUUAACACAAAGACCGAAACAUUGUAACUCUGUGUUACAUGAUUUCUGUUGUUUUUAUUUUAUUGUAAAUCAAUAAAUAAAAUACUAACUACCUUACCGUGGUGCAUGAACCUAUAAGUGGAGUCCCAUAGAAAUUUGUACAAAUUCCAGUUUGAAGGCAAAAGGACUGGAAAAUUGAAUGAGAAGUUUCUGGUCACUUACAUAAUAUCCACACAACACACACACACACACACACACACACCCAUAUUGUAAAAUAAAAGGUUCUUUUAAAAACAAAUUUUAAUGGUGUUUUAGCGCAUGUGAACAGCUAAGGCACGAUUGUUCUGUUCUUGGUUUCGGCUGUUUUCCAACUAUGGUGUUUUUCUCAUUGAUCAGACAGAAAUCCCCAAGGUCUGGCAAAGGAAGCUUUUAAUUGCUCUGGAUGGACCAAUUUUUGGCUUAGCUGCUCAAGCACAUAAUUGGGAGAGAAAGAGAGAGAGAGAGAGAAACUAAAUCAUUUUGAGAUUGCUUUAAGACAAAUAUACAGUCAGACAUCCCUUUACCUGACCAAACCUCAAAAUUUUCCCACAAGCUCUGGGAACAGAGAGAGUAGGUAGUACAUCACCAGAGAUCAGAGAGUGAAGAUCAUUUUGCUGAUCUUUAUCAAAAUGAAAAUAAGAGUGAUCAUAAUUAUCAUUCUCCUGUUAUAGGUGGGGCUUCCCCAGAAGCAGACUGAGACCAGGAUUCUGGUCAAUCCACUUUAUUUAGAGGGGAUCCUGGAAUCACUAGGAGGGGAGACAGAGAAUGGAGGACAGCCGGGAAAGGUGUAGGAUUGAGUAAACUAUGGCUGAGGCCACUGGAGCUCCAUCCCCCCAGGGGACCUUGGGAGCCAGUGCAAAAUAGACACCUCAGCAGCAUCUCAUCCAGCCACAAGGGAACUGGGGAAUUUGUACCCCAAGUCCCAUCUGAUAUUGGCUAAGAGCAGUCUGUUCCCGGGGUGUAUCACGGCCCGGCACUUCCAGCCAUCCCCAGUGCAGGCAGCCAGAGGAAACCCUGGGGCAAAGUCACAGAAGCUUGCAGCUGGGAAUCAGGCAUUCUGGAAAAACACCAACAGCAUCUGCUUCAACAUCCAAAUAUAAGACAACCCCAAAAUAGGAAGAUUCCCUGCUUCCCCACUUAAAAGAUCCAAAGGAUUUGUGACCUAAUGGAAUACAUAAUCUUUUCUAAAGCAGAUGAAAUGGUUAAAAAAAAAAUCUCCUUAUAGCCUUUAUGACCUGCCCUAUAUGCUUAUAAUCACGUUAUGUGCGAUGAUAACAUUAAUUUAGAAAAAGUCGCUUUCUUUGCACUCAAUCGAUGUUAUUCCAACUCUUCCAGCUCAUCUUUUCUCAUCAUUGAAGGCACCUUUUGAGUCAUUUUUGUUUCCCCCAGCACAUUUUCUUCCCUCCCUUCCCCAUUCUUGGUGAUACAGCAUUUUUGGAAUCUGUAGGAUGCUUUUGCUGGAAUUUUUAUCCCAAGCCUCAAGCACCUAUUUGCAUAACAUUAGGGCAGCUGGCUGUCCCAUUCAGCACCGAGGUGCCAAAGCUUGAUCUCCAUAAUGUAACCACCCAGGGUAAGGCUUUCUUAAGUGUCCUUAAAAGACUUGUUCACACUCCAGUGCAGCCUCGUGGAGCCGCCACGCCCUUCAGAAUCCAUUCCAAAUCUGGUUCAAUUUCCUAGCCUCCUAUCUCAGCCUGUUUGUGCUAUUGUAACAAAAUGCUCCAGGCUGGAAAGAGCAGAAACUAAUUCCCUUACAGUUCAGGAGGCUGGAAGUCCAAGAUCAAGGUGCUGGAGAGGGCCUUCUCUCUGUGCUUUCAAGAUGGUGCCUGACUGCUGUGUCUCCAGAAGGGAAAAAUGCUGUGUCCUCACUUGGAAUAUGGGCUCUUAGCGUGUGUGUGUGUGUGUGUGUGUGUGUUUUUUUCCUGGGGAUUGAAGGGAGGGGUGUGCUACCACUGGGCUAGAUCCCCAGCCUCUUAUUUAUUUAUUUUUUAUUUUGAGAUAGGGUUUUGCUGAGGCUGACCUCAAACUUGCAAUCCUCCUGCCCCAGCCUCCCAAGUCACUGGGAUUACAGGCAUGCGCCACUGUGCCCACCCUUCCAGCUCUUUCAUAUAAGCACUAAUCCAUUCAUGAAGGUGGGGGAGGCCCCACCUGUUACUACCAACACAGUGGUGGUAAGUUUCAAUAGAAACUUUAGAGGGGACACCUUCAAACUCUAAUACCUCCUUUUGAGCAGUUUCUUCAGAUGACCUUGGUUAAUGGCCAGAAUCACCUCUGAUGGAGAUUGUUUCAGGUAACACAUCCCUCCCAUACCUCACUAGGUUGUUCAAAAUAAAAUACUUGAGAGCCCCCCACAACAUGAAAGAGUGCAUGAGGUUUCUAUUGAAAACAGAGGCUCUUUCCCCAGGGAACUUCUGAGAAGCCUGGAACGUCACCGUAUAUCCCUGCCGACUAGUUCUUCUGGCAGUCAUCUUAAUCCUCACAACCAACCCAGGAAGUGGAUUAGAGCAUCAUUCCCAUUUUACAGAUGGAGAAAUGGAGGCUUUGAAGCAGCUCAAAGAGCAGUGGAAUGACAGUGGUGGGUGUGUCUUUGAGGUGUGCAUACCCCCUCCACCAUGCUGCUGUCCCUUGGGAAAGGGCUGUGCUCAUGGACUUGGAUGGUAGACUCCUAGGGCAGCAAAGUGCCAGCCAGCUCAGCAGCCUUCACAGGGUCCUCUCUCUACUCCUCUCGCUUUGCUGAGCUAGAGAAGCAAGAGGCAAUCACCAUUACUCCAGCUGAAAACCUCUACAAGGAAAUGAAAGUCCCCCCUCAAGGGAACUUCUAAAAACUGUAACUAAGUCCAUUUCAAAUGGGCAAAUAAAUGUCUACAAAGGAUUUUUUAAAUAAAAC